rnacentral:rRNA from 1 species
CCAAAAACGGUUAAUCCUUUAAAGACAUUUGUUAUUGUGUCACCUUUAUAAUGUGUAAUAUGACAUGGAAUUUUCUGAUUUACCAGUUAAGAAAUUUUAUAAUCCAAGACAUUGGGAAUAUGAUACCACUCAUAUAACGACUAUUAAAGUGCCAGCAGUCGCGGUCAUACUUUAGUUAAAAAUAAAAACUAUUAGGAUAAUACAAUUAGUAAAUAAAUCCCCUGUAGUAAAAUACGGGCUAAAUACUGUUAAUACUCUAACUGACUAAACACUGAUCACAAACAGGGAUUAGAUACCCCUUUAUGCAGUAUAUAAACCCUUAUCCUGGGCACUAAAUUACCAAAUUGAAACCCAACUAACAUGGCGGUAGGUUAAAUAUUUAGGGGAACUUACUAGAUAAAUGAUAACCACCAAGAAUAUGAACGUUCGGCUAUAUUUUACAUACCGUCGUCGUCAGACAUACUAAGAUAGAAUGUCAUAAUAUAAUAGCUAUAAAAAGACAGAUCAAGGUGUAGACAACCUUAACGUUUUAGCGAGUUACAAUAUUUCAUAUUUUCGUACCCCAGUUAUAAUGCUGUUUAUAGGCGGACUUAAAAGUAAUAGUCAAUGACAUUACACUAUGAAUAACAUUUAAUCUGUGC